rnacentral:rRNA from 1 species
UACAGAGGCCUCGAGCGUUAGGCGGAAUCACUGGGCUUAAAGCGUGUGUAGGCGGACUUCUAAGUACCUUGUGAAAUCCCACGGCUCACCCGUGGAACUGCUCGGUAUACUAGUCGUCUUGAGCCUUCUAGGGCGAGUGGAACAAAUGGUGGAGCGGUGAAAUGCGUAGAUAUCAUUUGGAACGCCAAUGGUGAAAACAACUCGCUGGGGAAGUGCUGACGCUGAGACACGAAAGCCAGGGGAGCAAACAGG